rnacentral:misc_RNA from 1 species
AAAAGAGAAAUAGUAGGAAAAUCUAGAUGGUAGGGUUUUUAUGUUAUUAGAUUUGACAUGAGGGCCAUAUGCGGUAUGAAAUUGGAUCCUAAAUUUAGUGGUCAGAUUAAAAUAAUUUACUAUUUCUCUAAAAUCAAACCUAUGUCGUAAGCACUGUCCUCAGCAGAGCUUCUAUAACAAUCUCAUGGCUGCUUUCUUUUAUUUUUUCAACUGAGAUUUCGAUAUAGUAAAAAUUCCCUGUCACUUCAUUUUGCUUAUCGAUCGGAUAUACUUGCAUCAAGUGUAGUUGUAAAGAGGAAAAAGAUGUUAGGCUGUCCAAGUCACCAGUUGAUUUCCCUUGUUUUGAUCUUACUACUGAUAAUAGUUGAUCAAAGUUCACAAGAAAGCCCUUUGAAAUCUGCUGUGUUUCUAUCACCAGCAUUUGUGCUGGAACCUGGAUCAGUCUCUAACAAGUUUUACUACAACAUUGGCUUCCCAAAGGGCCAUAUUGCUAUCAAAAAUUUCGAUGCAGAAGUAGUUGAUGAGGGAGGUAAUCCUGUACCUCUCUACGAAACAUAUCUUCACCAUUGGAUUGUUGUAAGAUAUUAUCAACAAAAAGGUGUGAAAGUAACAAACUACCAUAAUAAUUUGGGGUUCCACCAAUCAGAUUUUAUUCUCAAGAGAAACUCAGGUAUAUGUGAUGGAGGACUUUCUCAAUAUUUCGGGCUUGGGUCAGAGACACGAAAAACAAUCACCUAUGUUCCAGAUCCUUAUGGAAUAG